rnacentral:tRNA from 1 species
GAGUGUGUAGCUCAGUGGCAGAGCGCAUGCCUGAAAUGCAGGAAGGAGGUCCUGGGUUCAACCCCCAGUGCCUCCA